AUGAUGGGGGUGAGGGUGUGCAAUGGAAAGGCUGUGGCGGCGCUGGCUGCGGUGUUUGUCAUCUGCGCCGGGGUGGUCUCGCCGGCGGCGGCGAGCGGGCGCGAGGAGGCCCACCUGGUGCCGGCGGUGUACGUGUUCGGCGACUCCACGGUGGACGUGGGCAACAACCAGUACCUGCCCGGGAACGCCGCGCUGCAGCUCCCCUACGGCAUCGACUUCCCGCAGUCGCGGCCCACCGGGAGGUUCAGCAACGGAUUCAACGUCGCCGACUCCAUCUCGAGGCUGUUGGGUUUCAAGAGGAGCCCGCCGGCGUACCUGUCGCUGACGCCGGAGACGAGCCGUCAGAUCGUCAGAGGCUACCGUGGCGUCAACUAUGCCUCCGGUGGAUCCGGCAUUCUCGACACCACCGGGAACACCCUCACGUUGACCAAGCAGGUGGAGUACUUCGCGGCCACCAAGUCAAAGAUGACGGAGAAGAGCAGUGGCAUCGACGCGCUGCUGUCCAAGUCCCUCUUCCUCAUCAGCGACGGCGGCAACGACUUCUUCGCCUUCCUCCGGCAGAACCUGACGGCCAGCGACGCGCCGUCCUUCUACGCGGACAUGCUCUCCAACUACACCAAGCACGUCCAGACGCUGUACCAGCUGGGAGCGCGGCGGUUCGGGAUCGUCGACGUGCCGCCCAUCGGCUGCGUGCCGGCGGUGCGGGUCACCUCCCCGGACGGCGAGACCGCGUGCGUCGAAGCCGCCAACGCCCUCGCCAGGGGGUUCAACGACGCGCUGGGGAGGGCGAUGGCCAAGCUCGCCGCCGCGCUGCCCGGGAUGAGGUACUCCGUGGGGAGCUCCUACAACCUGAUAACGUUCAUCACGGAGCACCCGGAGGCCGCCGGGUUCAAGGACGUGGCCAGCGCGUGCUGCGGCGGCGGGAGGCUCGGCGCGCAGGCAUGGUGCGGGGCACCCAACGCCACCUACUGCGCCAACCGCAACGACCAUGUCUACUGGGACGAGGUGCACGGCACCCAGGCCACCAACAUCAAGGGCGCCAAGGCCAUCUUCGCCGCCCCGGUGAAGCUCGGCUUCGCCGCGCCCAUCAACUUCAAGCAGCUGGUUUCUUCUUGA
rnacentral:rRNA from 1 species